GACGAACGCUGGCGGCGUGCUUAACACAUGCAAGUCGAACGGAAAGGCCCUGCUUUUGUGGGGUGCUCGAGUGGCGAACGGGUGAGUAACACGUGAGUAACCUGCCCUUGACUUUGGGAUAACUUCAGGAAACUGGGGCUAAUACCGGAUAGGAGCUCCUGCUGCAUGGUGGGGGUUGGAAAGUUUCGGCGGUUGGGGAUGGACUCGCGGCUUAUCAGCUUGUUGGUGGGGUAGUGGCUUACCAAGGCUUUGACGGGUAGCCGGCCUGAGAGGGUGACCGGCCACAUUGGGACUGAGAUACGGCCCAGACUCAUACGGGAGGCAGCCGUGGGGAAUAUUGCACAAUGGGCGGAAGCCUGAUGCAGCAACGCCGCGUGCGGGAGGACGGCCUUCGGGUGGUAAACCGCUUUCGCCUGUGACGAAGCGUGAGUGACGGUAAUGGGUAAAGAAGCACCGGCUAACUACGU
rnacentral:rRNA from 1 species